GGAAAAUCUAGGCCAGUUCAGACAUUUUUCAACUGAUUUCCUUUUUUUUUUUCUUAUAGCACCCCAUCUUCUAAAACAAGAUCUAAACUUCAAUCAUAAAAACUUCAAAAAAGAAGUCAGUGGGACAUAACAAAGAGUACUGUUCUCUGGAUAAAAUGACAGGGAAAGAGAUUUGUUUUUCAAAGGCAGAGUCUGGAGGGACCUUGAAAGCUUCUCGAUGCAGGCAUCUUUCUUAGAGAGCUCAGCAUGCUCUGGGCAGAAGUGAAACAGGCUUGGUGAAUAGCAAGGAGCCUGCCCACUGGAUGAGCUCAUGGGCCAGCGGUGGAAUCUGUCUGCGUCUCAGCACUGUGGCUAGGUAAUCCAGAUUUCUUUUCAUUGCGAGGGAUGUGUGAGAAUUGAUGCCCUAUUUGAAGAAAACCAGCCACUGUCCACACCGAGGGUCCUCCCUCCCUGGAAGCCCCCAAAUACAUAGGAAACAGGGUAAGACAUGCUAAGGAAAUUCAGUUCAAACACUUGCACACAACACUACAAAGGUGGAGAUCUCACAAGAAUACCGUGGAUAAAGUUUCUACCCUACGGAAUUGUCACUGUAAAUAUCCUACCUAAAUAGAUGCACCCCAAAGAGAUUCACAGCACAGACCCAGCUGCACGUCGGUUCAACUGUCCUUCUAUUCUGUAACGUUAAGAACAAAGGUCAGUGUCAUACUUUCUCUUAUCUGCUUCAUCUCUCACACUGAUACAGACUGUGGGCUGAAGAAAGAAGCAAAAGAAUUGUCUCUCACUUCCUCCCUCCACGUACCAAACCCGGGGCUCACUGAAGCGCAUUAUUUCUGGACAUAACCCUAAGUCAGUCAUUCAGGGAGAGAAGCCGCAUCUGAACAGCCGUUCUCUUGCCUACAGAACAACUUCCAGGCCAUAGCAGAGGGGUUCAACUUCUUUGUAGGUGACCAUAUAAUGAGGAACAACAGGGCGGUGAAUAGGAAUGAUGUGGGAGGAAGAUUUAUUCCAAUCUGCACCACUGUGAGACUCAUGGAGGAGAAUGAGAUCUAUUGACUUCUUUUGAAUCAAGAUAUGGAGGGAAAGCCCAAGGCAAUGCUAUGAAAUAGGUGAAAAGGCCUUUGGUCCCUUGCUCCUAUAGCCGGUGCUGUGUAACCAACAGGGACUCUGAUCAGUCUGUUCCACACACAAUCCUUCCCUUCUUCCCUCUCCGGGCAACUGAUCCGCAGACAGGUGGCCACCAGGCUGCUCUGAGCCAGUGUGUUCCGGGAGUUAAUGGGCUAAUAACCAGCUCGUCAGGGUGACAUACUGUGUUUCAGUGGAGGCUUUGUGUAGUACGGUUUCUUAAAGGAGUGAGAGGUGGAAUUUCGGACUCCUUGGCAGACCUGUGGGAGAGAUUUGGGGGGUGGAGGGGAGGGUCUUAGUAAUAUUUCAUUCCUGCCAGGUAGGCCACCACCUACCACACCUAUAGGUAAGGGGGGUUCACCUAAUCUUGGUGCCAAGCAUGGAACUUUUCAUUUCAAGGCACUCUCUGCACUUGCUUGAUCACUUGUUUUUCAAUCUGCAACUUAAAAGUUGAAUGAAAAGUAUUAUGAACCAUUGCAUUUUCAUGUUGAAACCAUCUAAAGAUGGCAAAUAUCUCUACUCUUAGAAAAAGUCCCUACUUUGACUAACCCAUGGGUGGAGAAGGAGAAAAUUACUAUUUGCUUUUGCUUAGAAAUGUGAGCCUGUUUGGAUCUCUCAGGUUUCCAUAAAACUGACAAAUCAGAAAAUGAGUUAGCUGUAGGAGAUAAGGUAUUCUGUGUAUAAAUAUUUAGGGGCGCGAUGUGAGCACUAUGCUAGAAUUUCAAAAAUGGUUAAAAUCAUGAUGGCAAAUUCUCAACUGCUGUGAAAACAAACAAGAUACAGCUUGCUGAAUGGGAAAUGAACAAUCUUUAAAUGCUGUGUUAUUCGAGAAUGCUGCCCUAGUGCAUUGUACUUACUUAAAAUGAGCCAGUAACAAAGAAUCACAGAAUGUUAAAGCCAGAAGCUGCCUUAAACUUCAUCUAAUAUUACACCCUCAUGAGAAACCUGAGACCCAGAGGGUCCCCAAAAGUUGAUUUGUAAGUUGCUUAUUUGGAACUUGGAGCAUUUUCUCAUAGAAAUAAUGUGGUAAAUGAUGGUUAGAGCCCAAAAAACCUCGCCCCCCCGCCACCUUAUUACACAGUACUGUAUGCUUGGACACUAUUGUUUUCUGUCUUCACUGCAAGUGUACACCAUUAAUCUACAUUCCUGGUUAAUAGGAGCAGUUGACAUAACAUCACGUCAGAAGGAAGACACAGCCCCUAGAAAUGGGCCAUCUGAUGCCUAGACACAAAACACCUCCAACUCUCUGUAAAGGUUAGAAUAUUUUUGGUUCCAAGACACCAAAACUCUUCUCUAAGUAGAUUGAACAAUGAGGACGUUCAUGUGUUUGUGUAAAUGGAAGUUAGAGUGGGGCGAGCUGCAGAGUUGGGUUAACCCAGGAACUCCGGCUCCGUUUCUCUGCCACUCCCUUCUACGUGCUUUACCCAUUUGUUGAUUUCAUCUUUAGGUCACUUCUCUCAGGUGGCAAAAGGACUGUGGUGGUUCUUGUACAUCCUGUAAUGGCAUCCAGAAGAAGAGAGAGAAAACCGUGGCCACAGGAUUCCAAUCAGGAAUCCUGAGAAUCACCUUGAUUGGAUCCCAUAAGUCAUAUGCCCACCCCUGAACCAAUAACCUUAGCUUGAGAGUGGAAUGGGCUGAGUCAGUUAAGCCAACCAAGCAUUAGGGGUGAGAUCAUCUCCCCUCAAAGUAAGGGUGAUGAUGUAAACUAAAAGGAAAAUGUGGGUCCACUGAGAUGUGUGAAGGGGAGAAAAUGGAUAGAAACCAACAAUAUCCACUAAACCAUCUUUCCCCGUUGACCCCAGCCCCAGCCCCUGAGGGAAGGUAUUAUGUGGCAUGGUGGAGCUAAGGAAGCUGGAUUAGCAGGGGCAGGCACACAAGUGUAGAUCAGAAGGAGGAAGUGGAAAUGUUCUACUUCUGUUCACUCCAUCUUAGAGCACACGCUACCUCCAUCCUCUAGAAGCCCCAGACCAUGUAUUCCCACUCUGUGUCUCAAGUCCUAACUACUGAGACCUUCACUCCAGCUUAGAACUUUUGGAUCUGCGACCACUACUAGAAAGGAAAAUAUCAAAAGAAAAAUAUACCUUUUCUUGCAUCAUUUAGAAGUGCCUACAUGUCUUCCGUUUCCUUUCCAUCCCACUUCCUUGUCGAAGGGAAACUUAAAGGCCCUAGAAAUAUGACUCAUUCUUUGUCCCCUGACAAAAUCGCUUUGGUACCCACUGAUUUCCCAGCAUGCUUUGGGAUGAAACUAUGGUGGCUUUGAAUCCACUUUUGAUGAUCUGCCUUUAGUCACUCGCAUUGAGAACUGCAAGGUUAACCGUGAGGCUAUCUAAACAAAUGUACAAAGAAAGUGGCAUUAACACUGCUUUCACAAUUACCCUCACAUUAAUAAAAGUACAUUUACCCAACUCUCUUCAGAGUAUCCUCUUUUUGACUAAUAGUGAUUCCAGUGUUCAUUCAUGAGCCAUCAAGCUGGAAAAUGUAAUAAAUAGACUCGUGAUUGGAAAAUAAGCUGGAAUUGGCUUCAUGACAAUCAAUGAAAACACAAAAAUAAAAUAAAGAAAGGGUCAGUUACUCAGGCUUCUCAGCAAAAUUGUCCCACAUAAAGAUUGAUUUCAAUCUCACUCCCACGGUACUCCGAAAAUCCCGUUUUCUAAAAUGGUGGUUUCCCGCUAAAAGACUGGCUCAUAGCCCAGGCCUCUAUCUCUAGAGCUUUCCACAGAGUUCCAAGUAAUGCAGACUUUGCUUGACUGGAAGCCUGGAAAUAACAGUCCUAUUAAGGGUUAAAUUUUAAAUAGUUAAGGUAUACUAUUGCGAUAAUAAUAACACUUUAGGUGUUCGUAGUGGCUCACGGUCAUGUGAAAUGCUGACGUAAUAAAUCGCUGCACGUGUUGUCUGCAGGAUUUGAAGGAUGUCUGCUGUGGGUGCCGAGCAGGCUUCCAGUCUGACACCCGGCCCACACUCGCUGAGGGGGAUACACAGUGGCAGGAAAAGACAAGCACUAGAAUGGGAUUUUCUUUGUGAUAAUGGCAAAUAACUUUUUUAAGCUUGAUUUUCCUUAUGUAUUAUUUGUAAAAAUGAAGUUUUUGUUUCAGAGUGAAGCAAAUAUAUUCCUGAGUAGAAGUGAAUGUUAAUUUUUUUUUAAAGUACUCUAUCCUUUUGGCUGAUUCCUCUCCCAAAUAUUUUCUCCUCUUAACUAGCAUGAUUUUAUCUUUUAUAAAGACAAAAUAGGUUUUAAUGUUGGGCCAUGAAUAAAGUGACAGCAAUCAGCCUAAUUAUAUUAGUUGUUUUGUGUUGCUUAUCGCUCAGUUUAGGGUAUCAUUGCUCCUUCUCUUUGUCUUACAAGCUUUUUUUGAAGGACGAAUGCUCUCUCCCCAAUUUGGGUUGACGUUUCCAGGCAUGUUUUCGGAAUUUUCCAUUCCCCUGUGGUUUACCCGACCCUUCUCGGGGCCCAGUGUUAAGUAUGGAGGAAAAGGUUAGUUCACUCCCAUCACACUGGAGGCUGUUUCAGGGGAGACGAGUUGUUUCAAAACCCUCAUUUCUCAACUGCCAGCACUUAAAAUAUAUGGGGCACUAGCAAGUGGACUUAAAUGGAUAUAAUCGUUUUGGAAAGUAACUUGUUAAUCGGCUUUAAUAGUCAGAGUUUACUGUGUAACAUUCCCACAUUAUCUCCAAAGGUGGCAUGUUGUAAAGAAUUUAUAUGCCCCACAAUAAGGAAAUGGUUAAAUACAGCACAUCCACACAAUGGGUCAUUCUAUUGCCAUUAGAAACAUGUUUUUGAAGAAUACUUAAUAAAUGAGAAAAUGCUCAUGUUUAUGGCAUAAUUUUGUCUAGGGCUUGUAAGAUAGGGAGAAUUUUAUUUUCUCUUUUGUGUGUGUGUGCAUUUCUCUAUUUUACAAUUUUCUAUAGUGAGCGUCUACUGUUUUUUGAAAUAAAAAAAAAUUCCAGGAAUUCAGGAAGGCGCAGGCUGGACCCUCGCCCUGGGUGUGAAGUCUGGCUGUCAGUGGGCCAGGGGAUCCGUCAGCAAAUAUUUAUCCACUGCUUACUUUGUGCCAGGCACAGGGACCAACAGUGGAGACACAAAUGACUUAAAAAUAAAACAAAGCAACACCAGCCCGGAGGGUCGCCUGGGCCGAGGCCCUCGGAGUUCACAGUGAGUCUUAAUUGUGUGAACAAAUGGGGCUACUUGCUGUCCCCAUUGUUUGACUCAAAUUACUGGUGCCCUAAGGAAAAGAGGCCAGUUUAACAACAGACAUAUUAGUAACUUUUUAAAAUCCAAGAUACCAAUCACCAGAAAGUCCACUUAAUCGAAAAUUUCUUUCUUUCACGUGCUAUUUUUAGGAGAAACAGACAAAUGACAAAAUAAGAUAGAAGAUGAAUUUUUUAAAAAAUCAGCUCAUCUUCUACCUCCUUUUUAAUAGGAUUACGCAAUGAGAGUUAAUAUUCAUUCUAAUGUGAGGUACUGUCCAAUUUUAAAGAAGCAAAUACUGUUUCUUUGUCUUUGCAUUUGGAUUCUUUGAAGGGCGGUGAUCCAGAUACAUAUAGUAAUGUCAGUCAAGCAGCACCUCUUAACUAUUCUGGAUAAAUGGAAGAGUCUGCGUUUAGAAUUUAAACUCGUCAUCAGGAAUUCACCUUGAGAUAAAAAUAAUUUUUUUAAUUUAUGUCGCAAGAAGUUUCUAUUUAAAUAACUAUUAUUGUUGUUGUCUGCAAGUAAUACAUUGGAUUAUAAUGGAUGAAAAUGUACAUAAUAAUUAGCCAAAAGAAAGAUUGUCCUAUUGAUAACAUUUCGUUCAAAAGCAACGUCUUUUCUUGAAGACAUAUCAUGUUAUCCAUACACGAAUAGAAGUCGUAUAAUUUUUAGAGCAGUCCCAGAUAGUAAGUGAGAAGCUUCAGGCACUGGAAACGAGUCCCAUUUGUGCCACUAUCUGAUCUGGCACAGUGUAUCUAUAUCGCUCAAUUUCAUUUUUCUCAUCUGUAGAAUGGAAGUGGCAGUUGCUGCUUCUUUAUUACUUUACAGACAUGACUUAAGGAUAAAUAAUAUAUUAAAAGGUGCCUCUGAUUCCUUGGCAGAAUGAGGCAUAAUUAAUGAGGAAGACUCAGAAAAUUAGGAGUCAAUACAGAUAAGCGAAGAUGCUCAGCCGUCUCCCUUCCUCUGUCUAGGCAGCUCCACCUGUGUCGGUCUCCAUGUGUUCUGAUAACAGGAACAACACAGAAUGAGUGGUGGAUAAAUAUUCUCUUCUUUUGCUUUAAUGGAAGUAUGAUCUAGGGCUGUAAGGUUAAGGAAAUCUGUAAAGCCUGUCCAAGGUAAAUUAUAACUAAUAACCAUAGAAAGGAUAAUGAAAAUAGAAAAUUACCAUCUGGAAAAUACCACAGUAAUAAUUGGUUCAGGGAAGAAUCAUCAACAAACGCUAAAAUUAGUCACUGAAAGUAUGAUGAGAAAUGAGAUUUUAUGUAGUCUCAAAGUAGGUUUCUACAAUACUUACUAAGGAAAAAAUAAUGACUUUACAGUGGAGAAACCUGACAGAUGCCUCCUUGACCAGGUGAUUAAAGUUGACAUUCCUUGCAAUGGGACAGAUUGACAUCAUGUGCCUCCCCAUAUAGACGCUCUGAGAAGGACCCAACAUCACGAUGGGGUUACGAAAAAUUCAUGAGGAAAUAAAAGACAACCCAAAUUGGCGGUCAUUCUAUAAAAUAAUUGGCCAGUAGUUUUCAAAAAUAUCAAGAUUGUGAAAGACAAAGAAAGAUGGAGAAAGUGUUCUAGAUUAGAGGAAACUGAGGAGACAUAGACAGCUAAUGCAACCUGUGAUCCCUCUGUGGAUCUGGGACCAGGAAAAGGACACAGUGGAACAAUUGGUGAAACCCCAAUCAGGUCUGUAGAUUUGAUAAGAGUAUUGUAUCAAAGGUAAUUUUCCGAUUUUGAUCAUUGUGAUGUAGUUAGGUAAAAUGUUAAAUUUGGGGGAAUCUGGGUGAAAGGUAUAUGGGAAUUUUUUGGUACUAAUUUUGCAUUUUUUCUUUUUUUUGGUACAUCUGAAAAAAGAACUGUCCAAGAUAGGUAACUAGGUAGAAAUAUCUUAAAGUCAUUUUUGUGAAAGUGAUACUCAGAGGAAAUAAACAGAAAUCUGACUUAAAAGGUGCCCCUCUUAAGAGGAAUUAGAGAUGGAGAAGAUAAUUUGAGAAGUGGUUUUCGUUUCCCUUUGCCAAACAGAAUCAUAGAAUCUCAGUGCUGGAAAGAACCUUAAAGAGAAUAUUGAUAAGAAAGAAACCAGCCACAACCUUAACAUCCAACAACAGGGGAAUCAAUCAAUCAUCAUGCUUCAUGCACUCCAUGGAUUUCCGCAACCCUUGAAUGUUAUCCUUGUGAGAAAUCGUGUAGCACAAUGGGGACAUGCUUGUACUAUAAUUUUAUUCCUUUAAAAAUAAGGAUGCAAAUUAUAUGCACACUUUCUAAAUCCCACUACUUAACAUAUACAUACAUGAAGAAAGACAAAGCAAAUGCACGGUGAAUGUAGUUAAGAUGGUGGGAUUGUAGGGAGAUUUUUUUUCUUUUCCUUUUUCCUAUAAUAUUUUAGAUUUCAAAUGUUUUUAUAAAGAAACGGUGAAAGUUCUAAUUGUGAGCCAAAAUUUAUCCUCCUGUGUGAUAAAUUCUAAAGCUUCUUUCACACAACGGCCUUGCCUACACUCCCUCAGCCAUAGAUAGUGGGGACUUCCACACACGUGCCACGCUGAGCCAGCCACUGGGCCCCUCCCCAUGGAAGCAACCAGCCUUCCUAGGCUCUCGCUGCCCUGCGUUUGGUGUAAGAUCUUUUAUGUUUGGGAGAUGAAUCCUGGGAAAACCCCUGAGUACAGCUGUAACUUCACUGACUUUGCCCAAAAUUCACAAGGCAUUGUCUCAGUUCCCCUUUUUCAUUUUCAUUCCUCCCCUGGGGCUGAAGUCUCACCCCCCGGCUUGUCUGUUAUUCUAACAUAGUGCCUGGUCCUUGCCAGUGUCCCCUCCUCUUCUGGGAGCUGAACUCUGUUUCCUGUGUGUUGGUCUGCUCAGGCUGCUGUAACAAAGCACAGACUGGGUGGCUCAAGCAACAGGAAUGUACUGUCUCGCAGUUCUGGAGGCCCGAAGUCCAAGAUCAAGAUAUCUGCUGGGUUGGUUCCUCCUGAGGGCUGUGUGGGAAGGAUCUGUUCCGGGGCUCUCUCCUUGGCAUGCAGAUGUCCAUCUUCUCUUUAUGUCUCUUCACAUUGUCUUCCCUCUUUGUGUGUCUCUGUGUCUAAAUUUGUGUCUUCUUUUUUUUUUAUUUAUGUAUUUUUUGGAGGAAGAUUAGCCCCCAGCUAACAUCUGCCACCCAUCCUCAGCUUUUUGCUGAGGAAGACUGGCCCUGAGCUAACAUCCAUGCCCAUCUUCCUCUACUUUAUACGUGGGAUGCUGCCACAGCAUGGCUUGACAAGCAAUGAGUAGGUCCACACCCAGGAUCCGGGCCGGGGCCGGGAACCCCGGGCUGUUCAAGCAGAACGCAUGAACUUAACCGCUAUGCCACCAGGCCCGCCCCCUAAAAUUGCAUCUUCUUAAAGGGACACUAGUCAUUGAUUAGAACCCAGCCUAAUCCAAUAGGCCAUCAUUUUAAUUUGGUUACACCUGCAAAGACCUUAUUUCCAAAUAAGGUCACAUUCUUAGGGACUGGGGGUUAAGACUUCCACAUACGAAUUUAAGGAGGGAGGACACAAUUCGACCCCUAACACCACAUCCGCAGGUACUGAUGGAGUAUGGCUCUCCAUGACGUUAGACCACCGGCCUCUGAUAGAGCCACAGACCUCUGGUCUGAUACUUUCUAGAGACUCCCACUGUUGAAUGUUCUGUCAGACCCCUUUGAACAGACUCAUACUCCCUGGCUACAGGGGUUAUUAACCUGGCUGGAGGGCGUCCCCAUGAGUGAUGGUCAAGUAUCUGCCCAUUGUAAAGAAUCUGUUUGCCUUAUCACAUGAAUUUCAACAUUACGUUUGUCAAUGAAAAAAAGGAAGUACCAUUUGAUUCUCUAUAGUCUCAGCUGUUGUGCAUUUUUAAAUAGUUACAAAAAACAUUGUAAUCUUUUUGUCACCACUUAUACAAAGAAAUGUUUUUCUUGAUGGCGAUUAUUGAGGAUUUGAAGAGAUCCUUUUUAAAAACUCUUGCUGAGGAAAUACGUGUAGCUAUUUCAAGCGUAAAAGUGAAUGUAAAAAUUUUAUAUUCAUGAAAUAGUCAGAUUUCCCAUUAAAAAUUUUGAAAGAAUUUUAUUUGGAUGUUUUAUACAAAUUUGAUAAUUAAUAUUUUUCCCUAUUACCCUCUGACCAAAUAGUACGUAAUAAUUGUUUUAAUGUUCUGAUCCUGGGGGCUGGCCCCGUGGCCGAGUGGUUAAGUUCUCGUGCUCUGCUGCAGGCUGCCCAGUGUUUCGGCAGUUCAAAUCCUGGGCGCGGACAUGGUGCCUCUCAUCAAGCCACGCUGAGGCAGCAUCCCACAUGCCACAACUAGAAGGACCCACAACUAAGAAUAUACAACUAUGUACCAGGGGGGCUUUGGGGAGAAAAAGGAAAAAAUAAAAUCUUAAUAAAUAAAUAAUGUUCUGAUCCUCUCUUUCUAAAUAAUCAUCUUUAUGCUCUUCAACGGGCUCCUCCACAACACACGCCGAUCUCCUUCCCACCUCACAGGGGUGCUUUUCUCCAGUGGGGCGUAGAUUAGAUUUCAUCCCUGUGUGUCACCCUUGAGUCCAAUCUACAUGAUUUCAAUGAGAUCAUCAUGUUUACACCUGGUAUUAUAAUCCCAAAUUGACUUUGCUUGUUCCUCUGCCCUGUGUGUUUGUCCACAGGCAUCCAAGGCCCUAAGCAUUGUUUCUGGUCUGCUUCCCAGCUGCUUUCUCCUGUGAAUCACCAGGCGCCCCCUGCUCCCUUAUUCUUUCUAUGUUAUGCCUAUUAUUCUUCAGAGUAACUGGAUUCACAGAGGUAUUUGGGGGCUUUCCUCCCUUCCUUUACUUAUUCUCUUUUCAAUCUCCAUGGGUAAGUUAUUAUUUAUCCAGUAAACUCCUGGGUUAACUAUUAUUUCCCAAUUUUGUGAGAUGCCCUCCAUCCCAAACCAAAUGUCCCUCAUUUUCAUAGCAUAACUACCCCAAAUCAAGACCCAUAAAUCUUAAUUUACUAAAACAAAACCAUCUUCAAGGCCUGCCACUCAUGUCUCAGACCUUCUCCCUUUCAAACUUACAGAUGUCAGUAGUAAGAUACAAAGGAAAUAACCAACUGGGCUCCCAAGUCCUAAACUCUGUAGUCUCUUGGAAAUGCUUCCUUUCUUUUCUGGUGAAGUCAUUCACUCCCACAGGAGGCAGAGUGAUCAUUUUUCAAAGUUCCAGGUAUUAUCUUCAAGCAACCAGUCUUUCACACUCCCUUCAGCCGCCCCAUGGCCCUGUUAAUUCUUCCUCCAUAAAUGCUUCUUGGAUCUGCCUCAUUUCCAUCUCUACUGCGUUGCCUUAACUGAAGCCCUCAUUAUAUGGAUCCUGUUUGAAACAUUGCAAUGGUCUCUUUUACAGUUUAGUCUCCACACUGCCAUCAGAAUUAUUACCUGAUGCUUCUCAAAAACUGUCAAUAGCUCUCGUUACUACACAAUGAAAUUCAUCGUCUUUGACAAUAUGGCCCCAAUCCUCUUUUCUAGCUUCAUCCUACACUUUGUGCCCAUAAUCUUGUGCAAAGUAAGCAACCUGCAAUUCCCUGAAUGUAUCAUUAGUUCCGUGCUUUGGGGCCUGUCCCCAUUCUCUAGUUACAUAACUAUUAUCCCAUCUUUCAAAGCUCAUUCACAGAACCUUCUGUGACUCUCUUCCUUCCCCACACCUUGCCAAAGUUAAUCUCUCCUUCCUCUAGUUCCUCUUGAGUUCCCCCACUAUAUUUCUGUCACCUGGGAGAUAAAGAUUGUAUCAUAACAUUUUCUCCAUUUUCCCAAGCCCUUGACUCAGAGCCUGGCAUGUAAUAAGGGCUUGAAUUAUUAAAUUUCCAAGAAUUUGCGAGCUAGUUGAUCUUACAUUGGUUGCUUGAAAGUAGCCAUGGUGGAAGUAUUUGCAUCGUGGAAAUCAACAACACUACAAUAGGAACGUUUUAUUUUUAAGAAGCAAUAGCUGCUUCCUAAACAUUUACCAGCCCACCACUGAUUGCACAAGUAAUAUAUGAAUACAGUGAAAUCAACUGUUCUCUUUACUAACCCCCAUACUCAACCCCAGGCUCCUCCCCAGAACUAAACAGUUUGGUGUGUAUCUUCCAGACCCCUUUUCACACAUUUUCUGUGUUAUAAUAUUUGCUGAUUUUAAGCCUGCUAGCUCAUUGUCUCUUAUCCAUGAAGCCUUCUCAGACUGCUCCUGCCAUCACUAUUGUGACUUUCUUCUGACCUCCUUCAGCACCCACCACAUCAUUUCUAACUUUGGUAUGCCUUAUGUUAGUAAGAUUCUAAGUUACUUGGAGAAAGGUAUCAUUUAUACUUUAAAUGUCUGUAUUUUCUACUGGACAGGCCCUCAUUAAGAUGAAUAAGCUCCAGGGAUCUAAUGUUCAGCAUGGUAACUAUAGUUAAUAUUGUAUUAUGUACUUAAAAGUUGCUGAGAGAGUAGAUCUUAAAUGUUCUCACCACGCAAACAAACGUGGUAGGUAUGUGAGGUGAUGGUGUUAACCAACUUUUAUUGUGGUAAUCAUUUUGCAAUAUGUAUGUGUAUCAAAUCAUCAUGUUGUACCACUUAAACUUACACAAUAUGUCAAUUAUAUCUCAAUAAAGCUGGACAAAAUAAAAUAAAGUAAAAAAAAAC
ensembl:lncRNA